UCGAAGGGGGGCUAGCGUUGCUCGGAAUGACUGGGCGUAAAGGGCGCGUAGGCGGAUGGCACAGUCAGAUGUGAAAUUCCCGGGCUUAACCUGGGGGCUGCAUUUGAUACGUGUUGUCUAGAGUGAGGAAGAGGGUUGUGGAAUUCCCCAGUGUAGAGGUGAAAUUCGUAGAUAUUGGGAAGAACACCGGUGGCGAAGGCGGCAACCUGGUCCUUGACUGACGCUGAGGCGCGAAAGCGUGGGGAGCAAACAGG
rnacentral:rRNA from 1 species